AUGACCCUAUUAUAGAUAUAACAGAUCAAGUGAUAUUACAAAACAAGCUGAUGUGAUAAAUGCCGUUUAUAAAACCGUCAGCUUCACGCAGUACGUUUAUAGUAAAUUCACAACGUCAGCCAGAGCAGCAUUUUAAAUUUCUUUCAUCGUAGAUCAAAAUCGGAAACGCAAAUUGAAAACAAAAUGAGAUCCCUCGUUGUCAUUGCAGUUUCCAUACUUGUUAUUGUAUGUAACUAUGUCAUCGCAGUUCCCAUUCCAGAUCAUUGCAAUGGUAACUACCCUGGUCACCAUAUGUUUUGUCACUGAGAACAUAGAGAACAUAUAAACGUACAUACUAUAACAUCGUCGCAUCUUAUCGCCAGACACAUCAUUAUAGCAUAUGCUAGCGACUCGUCUUGAGAUUACUGUUUCAUAAAUACUACCUAUAUUAUUUCAUGAUACUGUAACGCGAAAGCAGUGCUGUGUCACUAGUUUGUCACUUUAAAAUUCAUAUAACUACACAAAUGUACAAUUUCGUCACACCACAGGUAGCAACAUGCUGUGUAACAUGAUAGCGAUUCGUGUCGUGGGUACACUCAGUGCCGAAUUCAGAACAAGUGCCGCCUUAGGCCCUUUUAAAUAUGCCGCCCUUACACCAAGAAAAAAAAAUUUGGUAAAUAUUUAUAUGAUUUUUUUGUUCUAUUUCUUACAAAAUUUGCCGGCCUAGGCGUAAAUACGGCCCUGGGCACACUGCAACUUACAAUCAAUUGUAAAACAUCAUCGCAACUCACAGCAUUAACAUUAAUGCAUAUCGUUGCUACUCGCGUCGUAGGUAUACUGCUUUUAAAUAUUAUCUGUUGUCAUCUAUCCCACGACAAUUAAUCGCGAAUGAAGUAUCAUGUCACUACUUUUUGUCAAAAUUAUAUACAGAUCAAGUCAAUAUAUAAUCUUAUACAAAUCAAGUCAAUAUACAGCAUCUAUUAUAUGAUAAUUACCGUAAAUUACAUAUGUUACAAUCAGAUUUAAUGGUUUGUUUUAUUUACAAUACCUCAAUUAACCCUUAUCCUUAUACCCCACACCUGACAACCAAAAAUUACGUAUGCAUAUUACUUUCUUACUACAUUUGUACUCUUAAUUUAUUUUAUGAUGAAGUUCGACGUCUCGUUGUAGGUCUUGUUGGUAUUCGAAAACACACAGGUUAAGUUGAAAUCAAAUAAACUUGAUAUACAAAUAAUAUAAGUAUAUUUAAUAUAUAUUAUAUAUAUUAUAAGAUAGUAAUACUUAAAACAAAAGUAUUUAAAAAAAUUUUAGACAAAGGUUACGCUCUUGGCUGAGAACUAUGUGCAGUAAACUAUAAAAGUUUCGCUGACCGUAUUAAUUAUUAAUUAUUAUACCAGUAUUAUAUAGUUAGUAGAAAUAUGGCAAUUAAAAAUUGUAUAUUUUGCAUUUACAUAUACAAAUAUAUUUAAAAGAAAAGAAAUAUUAAAAUAAAAUACUUAUGAGCACAAUAAUUAGAAUUACAAGGAAAAAUUCGAUAAGGAAUUCUAAAUAAAUAGGUAAUAAUUAAUAGUAAUUGUGUGAUUGUGGAAUUAAAUCUGUCAGAAUAAACAUAGUUUAAAAACUUUAUUUAUGAUUUUGGACUAUAGUAUUUUGUUCACUUUUUACUCUUUUCAUCGGUACAUGUAGUACACAUUCAGUGGGUCGGAUAGUAUAGUAUACUUAAUUGAACUAUGACAAACCUUAACGGAUAAAUGUAAACGUGUAGUAAGUGAUCAUUUUAGUGCCUAUUGUAUAAAUGUACAGUAUAAUGACUAUAAUGUGUACACCUGUCACUAUACUGUGCACACUACAUCAUAUUACUUAGCAGUAUAUGCACACAGCAAACCGGUACUAAAAUGAGUAAAAUGUUUAUUUUAAUGUGAACUUGAAAUAUAAUUUACAUUUUAUAACUACCAAUAUAAUUAUAUAUUAAUUGUACACCAGCCAGCUACUGUCUACAAACUACUCUUGGACAUUUAUGCACGAUUUUUGAUCUCUAACAACUAAUAAGAGACAGUCUGACCUACUACCUAGGUAAACUUCGGGGGU